AUUGAACGCUGGCGGCAGGCCUAACACAUGCAAGUCGAGCGGAUGAAGGGAGCUUGCUCCUGGAUUCAGCGGCGGACGGGUGAGUAAUGCCUAGGAAUCUGCCUGGUAGUGGGGGAUAACGUCCGGAAACGGGCGCUAAUACCGCAUACGUCCUGAGGGAGAAAGUGGGGGAUCUUCGGACCUCACGCUAUCAGAUGAGCCUAGGUCGGAUUAGCUAGUUGGUGGGGUAAAGGCCUACCAAGGCGACGAUCCGUAACUGGUCUGAGAGGAUGAUCAGUCACACUGGAGCUGAGACACGGUCCAGACUCCUACGGGAGGCAGCAGUGGGGAAUAUUAGACAAUGGGCGAAAGCCUGAUCCAGCCAUGCCGCGUGUGUGAAGAAGGUCUUCGGAUUGUAAAGCACUUUAAGUUGGGAGGAAGGGCAGUAAGUUAAUACCUUGCUGUUUUGACGUUACCAACAGAAUAAGCACCGGCUAACUUCGUG
rnacentral:rRNA from 1 species